rnacentral:rRNA from 1 species
UGGGGAAUAUUGCACAAUGGGCGCAAGCCUGAUGCAGCCAUGCUGCGUGUGUGAAGAAGGCCUUCGGGUUGUAAAGCACUUUCAGCGGGGAGGAAGGCGGUGAGGUUAAUAACCUCAUCGAUUGACGUUACCCGCAGAAGAAGCACCGGCUAACUCCGUGCCAGCAGCCGCGGUAAUACGGAGGGUGCAAGCGUUAAUCGGAAUUACUGGGCGUAAAGCGCACGCAGGCGGUCUGUCAAGUCGGAUGUGAAAUCCCCGGGCUCAACCUGGGAACUGCAUUCGAAACUGGCAGGCUAGAGUCUUGUAGAGGGGGGUAGAAUUCCAGGUGUAGCGGUGAAAUGCGUAGAGAUCUGGAGGAAUACCGGUGGCGAAGGCGGCCCCCUGGACAAAGACUGACGCUCAGGUGCGAAAGCGUGGGGAGCAAACAGG